UUGGAACUCAGGAGCAAACCGUUUAUGAUUAGCAAAUUCAUUAUGCUAUCCUUGGUACCUUAAGGGGACACUGUGGGCUUUCCUCCCUUGUUGUUAUUUUAAGGACAUAUGACAGGGAAGGAAGAGCCCUCCCUUUUCCAGCUGGCUCAAAGCACUGUUUGCUGGAAAGUUUGCCGGAAUCUAGAUAGAAUCUUUCAAAAGAAAAUAAACAAGCAAAAAAUCCCUGCAGUCAUGAACUGUAGCCACAGCUGGAACUAUUGGAACAUUCCAGGAGAUGAAAACAAAGAUUCCCUCCUCCUUCCCUUCCAUCUUACUGAGGAGAAAUAAGGACUUAUGACCAUUAGACCAGGAGACAGGAAGCGAUGGUUCUGGAAGGGGCUCUGUUACUGACUUUGAAUUCAACUGUCCAGAUAGAAAGGUGGACAUGGAAAAAUUGGGCUUUGCAAAUGGUCACCCAAUUCUUGCCUUCCUGGUCUCCAGAUCACCCUUCCUAUACCACCACUCUGGAGAAAGAAGUACAGAACACUAACAACAUACCUGCUUCGCCUUCCACCAUGAUUGUAAGUUUCCUGAGGUCUCACCAGCCGUGCGGAACUGUGAGUCAAUUAAACCUCCUUUGUUUAUAAAUUACGCAGUCUCAAGUAUGUCUUUAUAGAAGUGUGAAAACAAACUAAUACAAUUUCCUAGCCUCCCUUGGCAUUAGGGA
rnacentral:lncRNA from 1 species